AAUCAAACGCUGGCGGCGUGCCUCAGACAUGCAAGUCGAACGAUUAAAGCUCCCUUCGGGGAGUGCAUAGAGUGGCGCACGGGUGAGUAACACGUAAAGUAAUCUACCUUCGAGUGGGGAAUAACGUCCGGAAACGGACGCUAAUACCGCAUAAUGCAGCGGCAUCGCAAGAUGACAGUUGUUAAAGGAGCAAUUCGCUUGAAGAGGAGCUUGCGGCAGAUUAGCUAGUUGGUAAGGUAACGGCUUACCAAGGCUACGAUCUGUAACCGGUCUAAGAGGACGGUCGGUCACACUGACACUGAAUAACGGGUCAGACUCCUACGGGAGGCAGCAGACGGGAAUUUUGGGCAAUGGGCGAAAGCCUGACCCAGCAACGCCGCGUGAAGG
rnacentral:rRNA from 1 species